rfam:Oryza sativa Japonica Group DNA, chromosome 5, cultivar: Nipponbare, complete sequence.
AAUAAAUACAGUUUUGCACUGUUUAUGUCUAACGUUUGGCCAUUCGUCAUAUUUAAAAAUUUAUUAUGAUUACUAUUUUUAUUGUUAUUAGGUGAUAAAAUAUGAAUAAUACUUUAUGUGUGACUAAUUUUUUUUAUAAUAUUUUCAAAUAUAAGAUAAACGGUUGAUACGGAUACCGACGGCUGCACUUAUU